CCUACGGGGGGCAGCAGUCUAGAGGCUUCGUCAAUGGGGGAAACCCUGAACGAGCGACGCCGCGUGAGGGAUUGAAGGCUUUCGGGUCGUAAACCUCUGUCAAGUGGGAAGAAUGCUCCGAUGGCGAAUCGGAGAGCGACGGUACCACUGAAGGAAGCCCCGGCUAACUCCGUGCCAGCAGCCGCGGUAAUACGGAGGGGGCAAGCGUUGUUCGGAUUUACUGGGCGUAAAGGGUGUGUAGGCGGCCAUGCAAGUCUGGUGUGAAAUCCUUACCG
rnacentral:rRNA from 1 species